AACGAACGCUGGCGGCAUGCCUAACACAUGCAAGUCGAACGAGACCUUCGGGUCUAGUGGCGCACGGGUGCGUAACGCGUGGGAACCUGCCCUUAGGUUCGGAAUAACUCCCCGAAAGGGGUGCUAAUACCGGAUAAUGUCUUCGGACCAAAGAUUUAUCGCCUUUGGAUGGGCCCGCGUUGGAUUAGCUAGUUGGAAGGGUAAAAGCCUACCAAGGCGACGAUCCAUAGCUGGUCUGAGAGGAUGAUCAGCCACACUGGGACUGAGACACGGCCCAGGCUCCUACGGGAGGCAGCAGUGGGGAAUAUUGGACAAUGGGCGAAAGCCUGAUCCAGCAAUGCCGCGUGAGUGAUGAAGGCCUUAGGGUUGUAAAGCUCUUUUACCCGGGAUGAUAAUGACAGUACCGGGAGAAUAAGCUCCGGCUAACUCCGUG
rnacentral:rRNA from 1 species